rnacentral:lncRNA from 1 species
UUCUUCUCUUUUUAGAAAAUGCAUACAAAAAAGGGAAAUUGCACCCAAUAAACACACAAAAAAAAAAAUUCACUAAAACUAACUAAAAACACCCCUCCCCCUCUUACUUUCUCUUCCUAUCUCUUUCUACUCUUUCUCUAAAAAUCUAAUUUCACUUUUUUUGACUAUUUAGCAAAUAAGCCCUACAAAAAAUAUCAUUGUAAAAAGAUAGGGAAAUUUGAUCCAAUAACAAAAAAAAACUACAUUUCAC